rnacentral:rRNA from 1 species
UCUACCUUUUAGUGAGGAAUAACCGAGGGAAACUUUGGCUAAUACCGCAUAAGCCUGAGAAGGGAAAGUCGAAAGACGCUGAAAGAGGAGCCCGCGGCCGAUUAGCUAGUUGGUGGGGUAAGAGCCCACCAAGGCAGAGAUCGGUAGCCGGCCUGAGAGGGCACACGGCCACACUGGCACUGAAACACGGGCCAGACUCCUACGGGAGGCAGCAGUGGGGAAUCUUGCACAAUGGGGGAAACCCUGAUGCAGCGACGCCGCGUGAGCGAUGAAGCCCUUCGGGGUGUAAAGCUCUUUCGUCAGGGAAGAUAGUGACGGUACCUGGAGAAGCAGCUGCGGCUAACUACGUGCCAGCAGCCGCGGUAAUACGUAGGCAGCAAGCGUUGUUCGGAGUUACUGGGCGUAAAGGGUGUGUAGGCGGUUCUUUAAUUUUGCUGUGAAAUCUCCCGGCUUAACCGGGAGGGUGCGGUGAAUACUGAGGGACUANAGUACGGGAGAGGAAAGUGGAAUUCCUGGUGUAGCGGUGAAAUGCGUAGAUAUCAUGAGGAACACCGGUGGUGUAUACGGCUUUUCUGGACCGUAACUGACGCUGAGACACGAAAGCGUGUGUAGCAAACAGGAUUAAAUACCCUGGUAGUCCACGCCCUAAACGAUGCAUAUUUGGUGUGGGCAGUUCAUUCUGUCCGUGCCGGAGCUUAACGCGUUAAAUAUGCCGCCUGG